GAUGAACGCUGGCGGCGUGCUUAACACAUGCAAGUCGAACGGAAAGGCCCAAGCUUGCUUGGGUACUCGAGUGGCGAACGGGUGAGUAACACGUGGGUGAUCUGCCCUGCACUUCGGGAUAAGCCUGGGAAACUGGGUCUAAUACCGGAUAGGACGAUGGUUUGGAUGCCAUUGUGGAAAGUUUUUUCGGUGUGGGAUGAGCUCGCGGCCUAUCAGCUUGUUGGUGGGGUAAUGGCCUACCAAGGCGUCGACGGGUAGCCGGCCUGAGAGGGUGUACGGCCACAUUGGGACUGAGAUACGGCCCAGACUCCUACGGGAGGCAGCAGUGGGGAAUAUUGCACAAUGGGCGCAAGCCUGAUGCAGUGACGCCGCGUGGGGGAUGACGGCCUUCGGGUUGUAAACUCCUUUCGCUAGGGACGAAGCGUUUUUGUGACGGUACCUGGAGAAGAAGCACCGGCUAACUACGUG
rnacentral:rRNA from 1 species